CACGUAGGGCGCGAGCGUUGUCCGGAAUUAUUGGGCGUAAAGAGCUCGUAGGCGGCCUGUUGCGUCCGCUGUGAAAGCCCGGGGCUCAACCCCGGACUUGCAGUGGGUACGGGCAGACUAGAGUGUGGUAGGGGAGACUGGAAUUCCUGGUGUAGCGGUGGAAUGCGCAGAUAUCAGGAGGAACACCGAUGGCGAAGGCAGGUCUCUGGGCCACUACUGACGCUGAGAAGCGAAAGCAUGGGGAGCGAACAGG
rnacentral:rRNA from 1 species